rfam:Puccinia graminis f. sp. tritici CRL 75-36-700-3 supercont2.97 genomic scaffold, whole genome shotgun sequence.
GACAACGUGGCCGAGCGGUUAAGACGAUUGACUAGAAUAAGGUUCUAAGGCUAUUGUCUAAUAUCAAUUGGGAUUUUCCCGCGUAGGUUCAAAUCCUGCCGUUGUCG